rnacentral:rRNA from 1 species
UACCAGCAGCCCCGAGUGGUCGGGACGUUUAUUGGGCCUAAAGGCAUCCGUAGCCGGUUCUACAAGUCUUCCGUUAAAUCCAGCUGCUUAACAGAUGGGCUGCGGAAAGAUACUAUGGAGCUAGGAGGCGGGAGAGGCAAGCGGUACUCGAUGGGUAGGGGUAAAAUCCGUUGUAUCCAUUGAAGACCACCAGUGGCGAAGGCGGCUUGCCAGAACGCGCUCGACGGUGAGGGAUGAAAGCUGGGGAGGCAAACCAGGGA